UACGGAGGGGGGCUAGCGUUGUUCGGAAUUACUGGGCGUAAAGGGCGCGUAGGCGGCGUGUUAAGUCACUUGUGAAAUCUCUAAGCUUAACUUAGAACGGUCAAGUGAUACUGACGUGCUAGAGUGCAGAAGGGGCAACCGGAAUUCUUGGUGUAGCGGUGAAAUGCGCAGAUAUCGGGAGGAACACCAGUAGCGAAGGCGGCUCUCUGGGACGGUACUGACGCUGAGACGCGAAAGCGUGGGGAGCGAACAGG
rnacentral:rRNA from 1 species